GACACGAUAGCUUAAUUUAAAAAGUGACUGGAACUUGAUAUUCCGGAGGUUGUAGAUUCAAAUCUUGCUCGUGUCG
rnacentral:tRNA from 1 species